UAGCUCAGUUGGUAGAGCAUGGCACUUGUAAUGCCAGGGUUGUGGGUUUGAUUCCUGG
rfam:Salmo salar isolate Sally breed double haploid chromosome ssa21, whole genome shotgun sequence.